UACGUAGGUGGCAAGCGUUGUUCGGAAUUAUUGGGCGUAAAGGGCGCGUAGGCGGUCUUGUAAGUUCCGUGUGAAAUCCCUCGGCUCAACUGAGGAACCGCACGGAAAACUGCUUGGCUUGAGUUCGGGAGAGGGAAGCGGAAUUCCGGGUGUAGCGGUGAAAUGCGUAGAUAUCUGGAGGAACACCGGUGGCGAAGGCGGCAUCCUGGACCAACACUGACGCUGAGUGAGCGAAAGCCAGGGGAGCAAACGGG
rnacentral:rRNA from 1 species